UAUUAGGUUGGUGCACAAGUAAUUGUGGUUUUUGCCAUUACUUUCAGUAGCAAAAUGCACAAUUACUUGUUG
rnacentral:miRNA from 1 species